GACGAACGCUGGCGGCGUGCCUAACACAUGCAAGUCGAGCGGGGUCCAUCCGGUGGCAACACCGGUGAAGACCUAGCGGCGAACGGGUGAGUAACACGUGAGAAACCUGCCCUGAAGUUCGGGAUAACCCGGGGAAACCCGAGCUAAUACCGAAUACCCUCCUUUGAUCGCAUGGUCGAGGGAGGAAAGAUUCAUCGCUUCAGGAGGGUCUCGCGGCCUAUCAGCUAGUUGGUGGGGUAAUGGCCUACCAAGGCGUCGACGGGUAGCUGGUCUGAGAGGACGAUCAGCCACACUGGGACUGAGACACGGCCCAGACUCCUACGGGAGGCUG
rnacentral:rRNA from 1 species